GGAGGGAAGGUCAGGUGAGGCGAGGUGAGGUGAGUUAGGUUAAGUUAGGUAAGAUAAAGUGUGAUGAGGCAAGGUGAGGUUUGGUUACGUAAGGAAAGGUAAGGUUAGGUAAGGUAACGCAGUGUAAGAUUAGCUAGGGUAAGGUGAGGCUUAGUGAGGAUUGGUUAGGAAAGUUAAGGUUAGAUAAGGUUAGGUAAGCAAAAGUAAGAUAAGGUAAGAAAUGGUAAGGUAAAGUAAGAUAAAGUAAGAAAUGGUAAGGUAAAGUAAGAUAAGGUAAGAAAUGGUAAGGUAAAGUAAGAUAAGGUAAGAAAUGGUAAGGUAAAGUAAGAUAAGGUAAGAAAUGGUAAGGUAAAGUAAGAUAAGGUAAGAAAUGGUAAGGUAAAGUAAGAUAAGGUAAACUAAGGUGAGAUUAGAUGAAGUGAUGUGUCUAGGAGAUAAACUAAAGCAAGGUAAAGGAAGUAUAAGGUAACAUAAAAUAAAGGACUAUACCACUAACCUCUAAUCUC